rnacentral:lncRNA from 1 species
AUGUCUAGUGUACUACAUUACUUUUUGUAUUUACUGUUUAGAUUAUUUUUAACUCAGUGCUCUCUUCUUUUUUUUUUUUUUCAUUUUUUUGCAAGACUCAGUGAUGACAGUCUUCUGGUGGCAUCACCAGGAGAGGACUCACAGCUUGUGUGUGGAGAAGGGGAGAAGACUCUUAGCCAGGAACAAUUGUCACACAACAGGAACAAGAUGACAAGAACAUUUGCUGCUCUGUUGAAUGUGUGUCUUAAAAUGACAGUACUCUGUAUAAUAAAAAAGAAUUACAAAACCCAAUGUCCAUAUUUUAUCCUCUGGAAGAGAUGUGCCAGGAGAAUGGAAGCUGUACCCAGCUGGAAUACAAUGGCAAUGGUUCAUUUGCAUUUUGAAGGCAGGAGUUAAUUGCUAAACAUCACCUUUGUGGUCAUGAGAGGAAGGAACAGGCACAGGCAGCACGAGGAACUGGGAAAUGCUGCUUUCCUGAGGACAGUGUUUUGGUAAAAUACUGAAUAUCCUGCACAAGCCACAGAAUUGCAUAAGUUAAAGAUCCUCAAGAACAACAAGCACAGGGGACAGGUGAGGGGCUGUGCUGGGGACAGCCACACUGAGGACACAGCUCAGGGAGCCACAGAACACCCACUCCCACUGGAGCCAGCUGUCACAGGCUUUGGCACAGCAGCAGGACUUCUCCACAAGAUUUGCUGAGAUUUCUCACCAACUUCCUUAAUCCUUUCUUCCUAGUUAUCCUUGAGAUUAGAAUAUAUAAACACAUAACAGAUAAUUGCUUCACUUCAGUCUUCAACAGACCAACAGUUUCCCCUGGGAAGCAAGGCCUAGAGAGGUAAAACAACCAGAAGCAUUUUAGGAGGUGUGAUGGUUCCCAGCUGGAGACAAACAUCACCAGCAAUGACUGCAGCACCGCCCAGGUGAUGUCUGGUGGGGGCUGGCUGGUUUUCCUUCUCACCUGCUCAUUACCCUGAAGACUCAGAACUCCUGGGUUAGUUCCCAUAAAACCCCUUCCCUCAGUUAACCCUUCCCAAUUAGUGCUGUUUCUG